UGUUACGGGUUCUUAGAUGAUAUUUUA
rnacentral:sRNA from 1 species